rnacentral:lncRNA from 1 species
ACAAAACAUUUCUUUUAAAAUGUAAGUUGAAUUCAACAGCACUAAGGGGACAGCUUCUUUCUUGACUAGAGGGACUCUUAGUUGUAUAAUAUUAACAUGUUUCAUUGAAUGAUUGAAAUGAAUUUUGGUUUAGAAUUUGACUCAAAGUAUAGUGCCAAGGAUGUAGCUCAGUGAUAGAGUGCUUUCAAACAUGCUUUGUCUAGGACUCCUGGACUGUUUCCUGAAUCAAAUGAAUAUCACUUUUUGACAGUAAUGGAAAACAGUCUUACAAGACUCUUAUAAUUAACCCAAGAUAGAGCAGAUGAUUGCUAAAGUAAAGGAGGCAGGGGAUGGAGUGCUGAUCAGCAGUUAAGAGUCAGCACUACUCUUAGAGAACACCAUGACUCCGUUCCCCUUACUCCUGUGGCUCACAGCACCUGGAACUUAGCUCCAGAGAGCCAGAUACCCCAGGGCCCUGAAGGCCCAAGACACAGUACACACACACACACACACACACACACACACACACACACACACACACACAGGGCCCUGAAGGCCCAAGACACAGUACACACACACACACACACACACAGAGAGAGAGAGAGAAGGGAGGGAAGGUAGAGAAGUAGAGUGAAAGACAAGCAUAAAUAGAAACGAGAAGCAAUGCUAAGACAUUAGGCUCUUGUAGCAUAACCAACUGUUCAAACUCCAUGAAUUUCACAUAACUCUCUUAAUAAUUAGAUUCUCAUCUUAGUGUAACAAUAGCUUUUUAGGGUGGUUAUCCCCUAUAAGCCUUAAAUUUACUUAAAAUCAGCUCUCAAUUCUGCCUUGCUCAGCACCUGUCUUUUUCUCUAGAGGGCAGCAUAAGGCUAUGACUGGAUUACCA